rnacentral:tRNA from 1 species
CAUCAAAUGACUGAAAGCAAGUAUUGGUCUCUUAAACCACCUAAUAGUAAUUAGCGAUUACUUUUGAUGA